AGAGCGAACGCUGGCGGCAGGCUUAACACAUGCAAGUCGAGCGGAUGUAGCAAUACAUCAGCGGCAGACGGGUGAGUAACACGUGGGAACGUACCUUUUGGUUCGGAACAACACAGGGAAACUUGUGCUAAUACCGGAUAAGCCCUUACGGGGAAAGAUUUAUCGCCGAAAGAUCGGCCCGCGUCUGAUUAGCUAGUUGGUGAGGUAAUGGCUCACCAAGGCGACGAUCAGUAGCUGGUCUGAGAGAAUGAUCAGCCACAUUGGGACUGAGACACGGCCCAAACUCCUACGGGAGGCAGCAGUGGGGAAUAUUGGACAAUGGGCGCAAGCCUGAUCCAGCCAUGCCGCGUGAGUGAUGAAGGCCCUAGGGUUGUAAAGCUCUUUGUGCGGGAAGAUAAUGACGGUACCGCAAGAAUAACGCCCGGCUAACUUCGUGCCAGCAGCCGC
rnacentral:rRNA from 1 species